AACGAACGCUGGCGGCAUGCCUAACACAUGCAAGUCGAACGAAGUCUUUGGACUUAGUGGCGCACGGGUGCGUAACGCGUGGGAAUCUGCCCUUGGGUGCGGAAUAACUUCUCGAAAGGGAUGCUAAUACCGCAUAAUGUCGUAAGACCAAAGAUUUAUCGCCCAAGGAUGAGCCCGCGUAAGAUUAGCUAGUUGGUGGGGUAAAAGCCUACCAAGGCGACGAUCUUUAGCUGGUCUGAGAGGAUGAUCAGCCACACUGGGACUGAGACACGGCCCAGACUCCUACGGGAGGCAGCAGUGGGGAAUAUUGGACAAUGGGCGAAAGCCUGAUCCAGCAAUGCCGCGUGAGUGAUGAAGGCCCUAGGGUUGUAAAGCUCUUUUACCAGGGAUGAUAAUGACAGUACCUGGAGAAUAAGCUCCGGCUAACUCCGUGCCAGCAGCCGCGGUAAU
rnacentral:rRNA from 1 species